GGGGAUUUAGCUCAGCGGCAUAAGCGCCUGCCUUGCAAGCAGGCAGUCAUAAAUUCAAUCCCUG
rfam:Cavia porcellus supercont2_111 genomic scaffold, whole genome shotgun sequence.